GGCUGUGCCCAUGGCAUAUGGAAGUUCUCAGGCUAGGGGUCUAAUCAGAGCUGUAGCUGCUGGCCCACACCACAGUUCACAGCAACGCCAGAUCCUCAAACCACUGAUGGAGGCCAGGGAUCAAACCCACGUCCUCAUGGAUGCUAGUCAGUUUUGUUAACCGCUGAGCCACAACGGGAACGGUACAGGAGUCUUUCCACCAGACUCCAAUUAGUUUUCAGUGAGAAUUUUUCCACAUGUAGAUAUAUUUUUGAUGUGUUUGUGGGGGGAGGUAAGUUCUGCAUCCUCCUACACUACCAUCUUGAGCUCCUCCCCUUAAAUACUUUUUUUUGGGGGGGCCAUGCCCAUGGCAUAGGGAAGUUCCUGGGCCAGAGAUUGAACAUGAGCCACAGUAGUGACAAUGCCAAGUCCUUAAACAUUAGGCCACCAGGAAGCUCCCCUCAAAUACUUAAUACAGUUUAAAAUUUUAUUUCCUUACCAAUGUCCCAACUUUUUCAUUUCUGAGUGAUAUUACCAUUCUUCUAGUUUCCCAAGCUUGAGAGGCUGAUGUCAUCUUGGUCGCUUUGCCAUUUAUCUCAUCCUUUAUUUAGACUGUAUUACCAUUAUUUAUUUCUCCAAAGUGUUCACAAAUUAGGUUCCUAUAUUUAACUCUGCCAUGACCUUCACUCAGGUAUGAUCACUGGAUUACUUCAACAGCUGCCAGUAAGUGUCUCUUCCAGACCACUCUCCCACCAACCUUCCAACAUCAUUGUCAGAGUGAUGUUUCUAAAAAAAAAUUUCAUUAUGUCACUCCCUGUUGAAGAUCCUACAGUGUUAUUAAGUUUAGGCUGCUUAUUCUUUUUUAAAGGCAGAAAAUUACCUGAUUUCCUCUUAUCUCUAUAACAUUAUUUUUUGCUUCUUUUCUGCAUUCCUCUCUGCCCAAAGGGUUCUCUUUGGUGUUAGCCCCACAGUAAGUUUGCUUUUACCACUCUUUCAAAAUAAAAAUUUAUUUUUGUUUUAUAUUUUAUCCCAGCUGGUAUAAUUAUACAUGCUCAAUAAACAUAUAUUUGUUUUCAAUAUUAUGUGAACGAUAUGCUAUUUAAAAAGGACAAUAAAACAUUUGACUUGCUGUUGAGAUAAGACUUUUUCAGUGUUGUCAGGAAGUAGAACUUCUCAGUUUUAAUGUGGGGGGUCAGUUAAAAAGGUGGCCCUACCUCACAGGAAAUAGAAAAGUGUCUACCCAAGACCUAUGAGUGCUUCUAAAUAUGUGUUGAUGGCUCUUCCAUAAUCUGGAAUGAGGUCUAUGUAACUACCUUUGAAUCAAUUUGUUUAUAAUUCAUUCAUUCAUUUAUGAUUCAACUUUUACAAGGCCAAAAAGAAAUAUGAAUAUAUUGAUUUUUAAAAAUGUUAGACUUAUAAGGCAUUCUCUUUAAAUGUUAAGACUCACAAGGCAUUCUCUUUCUUCAGUCUAUGUCAUUGCUUUUUAUUCAUCUAAUCCCUUGCAAAUACAUUUCCUAUUGCACUUCAAAGAAUAUAUGGUCUCUGUUUAUUUACCAUGUUUAUUAGUUUUUUCUUUCCCCAACCCAUGCUAAGUUUCUGAAAUACAGGAUCUUUGUCCUGUAAUUUUGUGAGAAUCUUAUGAUUUAGGGUAGAUAAGUGCUUGCUAUUUUAUGAAAUCAGACAAAGUAACAUGAACACACAAACUGCAAUGUGUGGAGAUGGAUUUUUAUCUGAGCAUUUAGGAAGAAAAUGCUUUGCAUCCAGGAAGAAAUCUCUUAGAGAGCUGUUAAAUACCAGAAUAGCAAGAAUGCAGCUAUUUAAAUAGUUCCUUAUGCAUCUUUUGCAUUGUGGUGUGCAAAUUCGGGCCAGUGAAUUUUCAGGGCAAUACGCUACCCAAGUGAAUCUGUUUCUCAUUUUAAAUAAUUCUUAAAAUAUGUGAAAUACUCAAUAAGCGUUCCCUCUUCUAAGGGUCUAGAUGAUGUCCAAAUCCUGGAUACACACUAGUCUAGGAUAUAUAAAAUGUCCUUACUAUUACUAAGUUUAGGUGCUAUUUGAAAAUGGGCUUUUAUGUAGUUAAUAAACACAAAUUUUCCCCCUUUAGGAGGACUUCAUAGAGAUAGUUUCACACUUUAUAGUAGUUUCAAAAAUGAAUAAUUUGACACUAGGUUGAGAAUCCAAAUCAGACUACUAUAAGCAGAUGUGACAUCCAGAAGGUUAACCCUAGCAUCUGGUAUGCCCUCCUAUGGCAUUAUGACAUGGGUUUUAGAAUUGCAACAUUGACCAAUGUAUGUUUAAGAACAGAAUAUGUCAAAGAAGGUCACAUAAACAAUGUGAGAAUGAGAAAGGGGGAGGGAGAGAAUAUAACAUUGGAAGAAAAUUGCAAUGAUAUCGCAGGCUAUAGAAAUGUUGAGAAAUUUUACAGAUAUGUACAUAAAGGAGCCAGGAUUUUUGGUUAUGCAUAAUGAAUAAAUACAAUCAUACAGUCAAAUUACCUCAUUUUCCCUCUCCUAUUUAUAGACUUUUUAAAAUAGGUUUUUCACAAAUAAACACCAAACUUGGAGCUAACAUGGCCAAGUGCAUCCAUACUUUCUGCUCUCUUCCUGUUCACUACCUUUAGGUGAGUUAAACUGGCAUGCAGGGCUUUUACUUUAAAUUGAUAUUCUAAUUCCUGCUAAAGCAACCUGAAAGGGAAGCAUAUUAACAAAAUGUUUGGAGGACUCCUGAUAAUAAAGUGCAUUCUAUCCAUGGUAAAAGUAAUGAAAGUUGAAACUUAAAAAUAUUCACAAUUGUACCAACAUUUAAUUAGCAAUGCCACAUCACUGUUGGCACCAGAAAGCCCUGAAUAAACUAUUGUUGUGGGUUUGCUGAUAGACAGCUUGUCAGGAAAUGAUCAGUAUUGGCAAUGAUUUGGGGCUAAUUUCAUGGAUGUUUUCCAGUUUCCGUGAUCUUCCUUUCCCCUUUUCCAAACAAAAGUGCUUCUGAAAAUUUCUGUUUAACAUCUUUCACUUCGAAUAAAGAAAACACAAAACAUUCCCCUUGCAGCUGGUAUUGGUGAAAUUACUUCUCUGGAGGGACCUGCAGAUGAGGGGUCUUGUUUGAGAAGCACCAGGCAGAAGAAAGUCUUCAAGAUGUCUGUGUUUUUUCUUAAUCUGAGAUCACUCCCGUUUUAGUGUCUAUCCACUUCCUGUUGGGAAAUGUACCAGAGGCAUCAGAAAGAUCCAAAGAUUGAUCUGAGUAAAAUAAAACAUUCAUUUAAACUCACUGGUUAUACAGUAUUAUCUUUAACAAAAGCUAUAUUAUGAUAAAAUCCAUAUCAGUUUCUAAGAGGCGAUGUUUUUCCUCCAGAGCUGAAUAACGUCACCUGAUCUAUUUGUUUCUCUGUGUGAAAUAAAUUAACUUUUCAAAUGUAAUAUAAAAGAAGACAGAACCAAACUUCACAAAUGUUGACAAACAAUCUAAAUCAUUACACUUCCCAAAUCAAAUAAAUGGAACAUAUGUUUUCCCCAAUUUUUUUCUGUAUAAAGUAUGCAAACAAUUACCCGGAUUUGGAGGGUAUAAUUAUGAAGGGGUUGAUAUCUAAAAGGUUAUUAUUGAUUUAUAAAGUUCUCUAGUUUAAUCGAAGACAGAUUUAGGAAUUGGAAAGAAAAUACUGCUUUCUCCAGGAACAAUAAAUGUCCCAAAAGGGAAAUGUAAGAUUUAAGAGUAAUUUUUAUAAGACAUAUAUACUGCAGUUUGUGGAUCUGGGAGGUGUUUCUCAUUCGAACUUCUAUGUAAUGAACAUUUUGUAGAACCAUCUCACUUAUUGUAGUGUAUUUUAUAUGCCUUAAAAUGCAGUAAUUAAAUUCCUAGAGUAAUUUUUGUUGAGUUUGAAUGCCUCAUUUUACAUUAUGGAUUUAUAAUCCUCAGUCUGCAGAUUUAGUACAUAUAACAAGUAUAAAAUAUUUAAACAAUAAAUUUAGUUUAAUUUACUCCCCAUCAGGUAUAAAUGUUCUUUCUCUGUGUCUCCAGUGUGCAUGCCACACACACACACACACACACACACACACACACACACACACACACAGAGCACAAGUUCAUUCAUCUAAUGUUGGUUAAUGUGAUAUUGCUUAAUAUUGUGGUUGUAUAAUAAAAAUUAAAUCUUUCAUGGACUCUUAUACUUUAGUUUUAUAUGCAGGUUUAAUUAUUGCAAUGUAUUUAUUAAAAACAUUUUUUUUCUUUUUAGGACCACACUAGUGGCAUAUGGAUGUUCCCAGGCUAGGGGCUGAAUCAGAGCUGUAGCUGCUGGCCUAUACCAUAGCCACAGCAAUGCCACAUCCAAGCUGCAUCUGUGACCUAUAGCACAGCUCAUGGCAACGCUGUAUCCUUAACCCACUGAGCAAGGCCAGGGAUCGAACCUGCAUCCUCAUGGAUAGUAGUUGGGUUUGUUAACCACUGAGCCAUGUUGGGAACUCCAAAAGAAAUUUUUUAAAAAUCAAAAUUUCUUCUUUUAGGGAAAAAGUUAAUUUCCUUUUUGAUUUCAUCAUUGACCCACUAGUUUUUUUUUAGUAGCAUAUUGUUUAGACUCCAUGUAAUCAUUUUUCUCCUUUCUUUUUCUGUGGUUGAUUUCUAGAUUCAUGCUGUUGUGGUCAGAAAAGAUGCUUGAGAUACUUUCUAUACCUUUAGAUUUGUUGAGGACUUUUUUGUGCCCACAUACUAAUGUGGUCAGUCCUAGAGAAUGUUCCAUGUGUAUUCAAAAAGAAAGUGUAUUCUUUUUUUUUUAAUGCAAUGUCCUGAAAAUAUAAUUUAAGUCUAAUUGUUCUAUUACAUCAUUUAGGAUCUCUGUUGCCUUAUUAAUUUUCUGUCUAGAAUAUCUGUCCAUUGAUGUGAAUAGGGUGUUAAUGUCUCCUACUCUUAUCGUAUUCCCAUCAAUUUCUCCCUUUAUGUCUAAUAGUAUUUGUUUUAUGCAUUUGCAUGCUUCUAUAUUAGGUGUGUAUAUGUUAACGAGUGUAAAAUCCUCUUCUUGUAUUGAUUCUUUUAUCAUUAUGUAGUGUUCUCCUUUAUCUUUUUUAUGCCCUUGGUUUGAAAUCUACUUUGUCUUGUAUUGCUAACCCUGCUUUCUUGUCAUUUCUGUUUGCAUGAAAUAUCUUUUUCCAUCCCCUUGCUUUCAAUAUCUGUGUAUCCUUGGCCCUAAAGUUAGUCUCUUGUAGGCAAUAUUUUGUAGGCUCUCACUUUUUAUCCAUUAUGCUACUCUUUGUCUCUUGAUUGGAGUAUUUGACAUUUAAGACAUUCCCAAAGAUGGUAAUAGCUAAGGACUUCUGGCCAAUAUGACACAACAAGGAUUGGAUUUACCUCACACCUUAUGCAAAUUGAAAACUGGACAAAAUAUGUGAAACAAGUAUCAGACAUUGGACCUCAGAAGCACAGGACUGUUUUCCCUGAGAGAAGGGAAACAAAUACAAUGAGUCCUAUGAUUAUAACAGCUUAAUGACUAAAAUCAAUUUCCAAGCUGCAACA
rnacentral:lncRNA from 1 species